AGAGUUUGAUCCUGGCUCAGGAUGAACGCUGGCGNUCUGCUUAACACAUGCAAGUCGAACGGGCUCUUCGGAGCUAGUGGCGGACGGGUGAGUAACGCGUGAGGAUCUGCCCUUAGGACGGGGACAACAGCUGGAAACGGCUGCUAAUACCCGAUGUGCCGAGAGGUGAAACUAUUUGGCCUGAGGAUGAGCUCGCGUCUGAUUAGCUAGUUGGAGUGGUAACGGCACACCAAGGCGACGAUCAGUAGCUGGUCUGAGAGGAUGAUCAGCCACACUGGGACUGAGACACGGCCCAGACUCCUACGGGAGGCAGCAGUGGGGAAUUUUCCGCAAUGGGCGAAAGCCUGACGGAGCAAGACCGCGUGCGGGAGGAAGGUCUAUUGAUUGUAAACCGCUUUUGAUAGGGAAGAAGAUCUGACGGUACCUAUCGAAUCAGCAUCGGCUAACUCCGUGCCAGCAGCCGCGGUAAUACGGAGGAUGCAAGCGUUAUCCGGAUUUAUUGGGCGUAAAGCGUCCGUAGGUGGCAAACCAAGUCAGUUGUUAAAGCGUAGAGCUUAACUCUAUAAGGGCAAUUGAAACUGGUUAGCUAGAGUGCGAUAGGGGCAAGGGGAAUUCCCAGUGUAGCGGUGAAAUGCGUAGAUAUUGGGAAGAACAUCGGUGGCGAAGGCGCCUUGCUGGGUCUGCACUGACACUGAGGGACGAAAGCUAGGGGAGCGAAAGGGAUUAGAUACCCCUGUAGUCCUAGCCG
rnacentral:rRNA from 1 species